GGGUCCUUAGCUCAGAGGUAGAGCACCUGCUCGACACGCAGAAGGCCGCUGGUUCGAUCCCAGCAGGACCCA
rnacentral:tRNA from 1 species